UUGACGGGGGCCCGCACAAGCGGUGGAGCAUGUGGUUUAAUUGAAGCAACGCGAAGAACCUUACCAGGUCUUGACAUCCUUGACACUCCUAGAGAUAGGACGUUCCCCUUCGGGGGACAGAGUGACAGGUGGUGCAUGGUUGUCGUCAGCUCGUGUCGUGAGAUGUUGGGUUAAGUCCCGCAACGAGCGCAACCUUUGAUCUUAGUUGCCAGCAUUCAGUUGGGCACUCUAAGGUGACUGCCGGUGACAAACCGGAGGAAGGUGGGGAUGACGUCAAAUCAUCAUGCCCCUUAUGACGUGGGCUACACACGUGCUACAAUGGAUGGUACAAAUGGCAGCAAAACCGCGAGGUCGAGCAAAUCCCAUAAAACCAUUCUCAGUUCGGAUUGUAGGCUGCAACUCGCGUACAUGAAGUCUGGAAUCGCUAGUAAUCGCGGAUCAGCAUGCCGCGGUGAAUACGUUCCCGGGCCUUGUACACACCGCCCGUCACACCAUGAGAGUUUGUAACACCCGAAGUCGGUGGGGUAACCUUUUGGAGGCCAGGCCGACCUA
rnacentral:rRNA from 1 species